rfam:Salmo salar isolate Sally breed double haploid chromosome ssa19, whole genome shotgun sequence.
UGCAUUCACUACUGUAAGUCGCUCUGGAUAAGAGCUUCUGCUAAAUGACUGAAA